CCGCCCCGGAAGCCCGGCUCGCGCGUGCGUAGAACGCCAAACUAGCUAGCCCAGGUUGCCUGUUUAGACCUAUGCGAGUGCUGGAAGCGUUUGCAAAAUCCCACCCUCUCACACCCCUGUUACAAGCCUAUGGUUUGCAUUUUGUUGGCCUUAAGCUGUGCUGCUGUCCAUAUACAGACUUCCACUUCAAAGAGAAAAUGAUGGUGGAUACCCUUGGGGAAGGGCAGGACAGGCCUGUUUCAUCCAUCUGCACUCUGACGUACCACAGAUAUCCCUUCUUGCUGGCAUCUUCAUAGUACUGUGGCCUAAAUAAUCUGUAGGCAGGUGAGAGGCCUCUGUAACAUCUCCCGUACCCUUGGUUCAGUUGACCUCUGAAGGAUCCAGGGCAUCUUUCUGCUGCUCACAUACACGAUCAAGGGAUUGGUUACUAGAGCUGAGGUCUCCCUUCACCUCCCCAUCGUCUGUGUGCAAUGCUCCAUCCACACUUCACACUACAGGUCUUCUGGUAAAGAACUUCCUCCAUACCUUGGCCAGAAAGUGCUGGUGAGUCAUCAGGGACUUCAUCCAGACUUCACGUUACCUAAGCCAUCCUGCAAAGAUUUGAAGGGAGCAGUACCACUCCUAGCCCUGCUCUGGGGAAAAACCAGGAAGACCGACAGUCAAGGGACCACAUACAAAGAAGAGAUCCAUUUCAAGUUUCCUUACAUGACUUUAAUUGGAGAUCCGACCCCUCUAAGAUGCAAGCCUGGCUCUGUGGGGCGGCAUAUGGUGCCAAGUGGGGCUCAGAGAAAAAAACUGCAUCAUUGAGGUUGAGACAGGGAGCCUGGAGUAAAUCCUAGAGUGAUUCCAAUUACAACAGCUAGAUAAGCCUUAAUGUAUAUUAUAUUCAUUGACACCAAGCUAUAGGUUCCCUUCUGCUUCUGGUACUAAACCUUCUUAUAAGGAGAAUUCUUUCAAAACCAAUUUGGGAUCAAAACAGUCUUUUUAUUACAAAUUGGAAGCUUCUGGAUCCAGACCCUAAACUGGCCAUGGAAGUACUCAGAGCCUAGAGAAGGCCACCCUGCCCCAGCCUACUCACUGCCCCAACCAUCACCCUGCUCCCACCUGUGUGGACUCUUUCCAGACUCUCUUCCGAGAGGACCUAACUCCAGAAGAGACCAAAGACCCACUUCUUGGCUUCUGUGGUCUGACUUCUUUGAGGCCCCUGACAUAGGGCUGAAUUGCAGUUUGCAGAGCUGUGUACAAUUACAGCCAUUAUAGUAAUCUUGAGUUCUUCCUAAGAACAAUUGGAGACACUUUCACAGUAAGAAUAUCAGGUUUGCCCUCUUACCAAUCCCCAAAUCAGGAAAGAGGGCGGAUUCCUUCACUGUACACGCAAGGGAAGGAAGCACAAGGCCCAGUGAGGUCAAAGGACUUGUUCAUGGCACCACCACGCAUGAGUGCAAACAGCUACCAACGGCUCCCACCUUCUGUCUGGAUUCUAAUUUUCAGUCCAUGUGGCUAAAAUACUGGAGGAUAAAAGUUCAUUUGUCUGCAUUUU